AUACGGGGGGUGCAAGCGUUAAUCGGAAUUACUGGGCGUAAAGCGCGCGUAGGCGGUUUGUUAAGUCAAAUGUGAAAGCCCCGGGCUCAACCUGGGAAUUGCAUUCGAUACUGGCAAGCUAGAGUAUGGUAGAGGGAAGUGGAAUUUCAGGUGUAGCGGUGAAAUGCGUAGAUAUCUGAAGGAACAUCAGUGGCGAAGGCGACUUCCUGGACCAAUACUGACGCUGAGGUGCGAAAGCAUGGGGAGCAAACAGGAUUAGAAACCCCGGUAGUCC
rnacentral:rRNA from 1 species